CGCCAAGCCCCGCCCCAGAUGAGUGCGCAGUAUGAGGACCGCUGGCCGGGACCCAGUGAGCGCGGGACUACAAUUCCCAAAGGACGGUAGCACUCAGCGCCCCGCCAACAGGUACCCGGCGGCUCGCUUCGCGCACACGCGGCAGGCGGUGGCGGGAUUCUGCCGCGUGCGCUUUCCCGCCCCGCCUCGCCUAGCCUCGUCCUGCGCUCGCCACGCCUCGGGCUGUCCGUUGGGCCACGCAGACCGCGCUGCGCUCGCUCCGUCGCGGCUCCGCGUGCCCCACCUUCUGGCUAGUUUUUUCUAGAGCCCAGGCUCCGCCCGUUUCCCGCUUCCAGGGCCCGGUUCGUUCCCGCCCGCACCCGUCCCUCUCCUCUGCACCCCUGCUGCUUCUGCUUUGAAGGCGGAGGCUCCAUGUUGUCCCCUCAGCGAGUGGCAGCAGCUGCCUCAAGAGGAGCAGUGUAAUGUGUGUGCUGUUGAAAUGACCGUUUCACUUGCGAAAUCGAAGAGCAAAAAGGAAAAGAACAGUGAAGAAUUUUUAAAUGAGUCUCAGUUCUCAAAUUCAAAUACGAAGCAAUGGAACGUUUUGUCAGUCUUAGAAUAACGGACCAAAAAUAUGAUGCCAUGGAGAGCAGCAAGCCUGGUCCAGUGCAGGUUGUUUUGGUUCAGAAAGAUCAACAUUCCUUUGAGCUAGAUGAGAAAGCCUUGGCCAGCAUCCUCUUGCAGGACCACAUCCGAGAUCUUGAUGUGGUGGUGGUUUCAGUGGCUGGUGCCUUCCGAAAGGGCAAGUCCUUCAUUCUGGAUUUUAUGCUACGAUACUUAUAUUCUCAG
rnacentral:lncRNA from 1 species